rnacentral:rRNA from 1 species
GACAGAGGGUGCAAACGUUUGUUCGGAAUUACUGGGCGUAAAGCGCGUGUAGGCGGUCGGGCAAGUCGGAUGUGAAAGCCCAGGGCUCAACCCUGGAAGUGCACUCGAUACUGCUCGGCUAGAGUCCCGGAGAGGAUGGUGGAACUCUCGGUGUAGAGGUGAAAUUCGUAGAUAUCGAGAAGAACACCGGUGGCGAAGGCGGCCAUCUGGACGGUGACUGACGCUGAGACGCGAAAAGCGUGGGG